rnacentral:ncRNA from 1 species
CCUGCCGAGGAGCGCUGCGACCACUUUGAAUAAAAUGGGGCCAGGCUCGGCAAUGAUCAACGGCGCUCGCAAACC